AAUAAAAAUAGGUGACAUCUUGAACCAUCGUUACAGAAUCGCAGGUUUCAAGCUUGGCAACGAAAGCCCAAUGGCUAACUGAAGCGAGGAGAAGUCAGGAUACAUAAUAUAGAUGAACUCCCAAGUUCUUUGAGAAUCAAAUAAAUGCCGGGCUUCCAAUGAUGUAAAUCUUACAACAUAACUUCUCAGAAUCUCAGAAAAGGAAUAUUUUUAAUAAACUAAGAAGAAAAUUAAUAAUCAAACUAAUAACUUAAAGCUAUUGAAGAAAUGCGAGAUGUAAAUUAACUCU
rnacentral:misc_RNA from 1 species